ACCUAGCUAGCCUCCACACCUCUGAUUCCUGUUACCCCUGCACAGAGGUUACCACUUUCAGCUAGGAGGCUCUGUGCAGCGCCCAUUCCCCGGAGUGCUUAUCUGCAUUCCACAUCACAACAUCAUGCAGUGUACUGGGAGUUAAAGAGCAAAUGCUUUAGUUCCGGGUACCUGUCUGGAAGAGAAGAACUACGUUCCCCAAGAGCCUUUUUGAGUACUGUUAUCAUUCCUGCUCAAGGGAACAGAUAUAAGGGCACAGGUCAUCUGACUCGCCCCUCUUCUCAUCUUGCCGUGUUCCCUG
rnacentral:lncRNA from 1 species